rnacentral:rRNA from 1 species
GACGAACGCUGGCGGCGUGCUUAACACAUGCAAGUCGAACGGAAAGGCCCUGCUUUUGUGGGGUGCUCGAGUGGCGAACGGGUGAGUAACACGUGAGUAACCUGCCCUUGACUUUGGGACAACUUCAGGAAACUGGGGCUAAUACCGGAUAGGAGCUCCUGCUGCAUGGUGGGGGUUGGAAAGUUUCGGCGGUUGGGGAUGGACUCGCGGCUUAUCAGCUUGUUGGUGGGGUAGUGGCUUACCAAGGCUUUGACGGGUAGCCGGCCUGAGAGGGUGACCGGCCACAUUGGGACUGAGAUACGGCCCAGACUCCUACGGGAGGCAGCAGUGGGGAAUAUUGCACAAUGGGCGGAAGCCUGAUGCAGCAACGCCGCGUGCGGGAUGACGGCCUUCGGGUUGUAAACCGCUUUCGCCUGUGACGAAGCGUGAGUGACGGUAAUGGGUAAAGAAGCACCGGCUAACUACGUG